UACAGAGGGGGCAAGCGUUGUUCGGAAUUACUGGGCGUAAAGGGCGCGUAGGCGGCCUUCUAAGUCGAACGUGAAAUCCCCGGGCUCAACCCGGGAACUGCGUCCGAUACUGGAAGGCUUGAAUCCGGGAGAGGGAUGCGGAAUUCCAGGUGUAGCGGUGAAAUGCGUAGAUAUCAUUUGGAACGCCAAUGGUGAAAACAGGUUGCUGGGAGUGUGCUGACGCUGAGACACGAAAGCCAGGGGAGCGAACGGG
rnacentral:rRNA from 1 species